GACGAACGCUGGCGGCGUGCCUAAUACAUGCAAGUUGAGCGCUGAAGGUUGGUACUUGUACCGACUGGAUGAGCAGCGAACGGGUGAGUAACGCGUGGGGCAUCUGCCUUUGAGCGGGGGACAACAUUUGGAAACGAAUGCUAAUACCGCAUAAAAACUUUAAACACAAGUUUUAAGUUUGAAAGAUGCAAUUGCAUCACUCAAAGAUGAUCCCGCGUUGUAUUAGCUAGUUGGUGAGGUAAAGGCUCACCAAGGCGAUGAUACAUAGCCGACCUGAGAGGGUGAUCGGCCACAUUGGGACUGAGACACGGCCCAAACUCCUACGGGAGGCAGCAGUAGGGAAUCUUCGGCCAUGGACGAAAGUCUGACCGAGCAACGCCGCGUGAGUGAAGAAGGUCUUCGGAUCGUAAAACUCUGUUGGUAGAGAAGAACGUGGGUGAGAGUGGAAAGCUCAUCAAGUGACGGUAACUACCCAGAAAGGGACGGCUAACUACGUG
rnacentral:rRNA from 1 species